CAAGGUUUCCGUAGGUGAACCUGCGGAAGGAUCAUUAAUGAAACUUCAAAGUCGGCUUGUCAUCUGUGCUGGUGGAGACACAUGUGCACGUUGCAAGUCGCAAAUCCCACACACCUGUGCACCUAUGACUCUGAGUACUGCUUUGCAUGGGCCCCUCAAAGGCCCUGGUACUCGAGUACUUUUACACACUCUGAAUGUAAUGGAAUGUCUAUUGUACAAUGUACAACCAAAACAACUUUCAACAACGGAUCUCUUGGCUCUCGCAUCGAUGAAGAACGCAGCGAAAUGCGAUAAGUAAUGUGAAUUGCAGAAUUCAGUGAAUCAUCGAAUCUUUGAACGCACCUUGCACCCUUUGGUAUUCCGAAGGGUACACCCGUUUGAGUGUCAUUGUAAUCUCACCCCCUUGACUUUUUUGUUGAUCGGUGUGGACUUGGAUGUUGCCGUGUAACAAACGGCUCGUCUGAAAUGCCUGAGUGUACCCUGCUUUGCAGCGUAUUCGGUGUGAUAAAUCUUUACCGGAGUUGACUUUUUCAAGUCCCGCUUGUACCUGUGGGCUCUAUGCUUCCAAACAGUCCUGACAAGGACAAUCUUUGACAAUUUGACCUCAAAUCGGGUGGGACUACCCGCUGAACUUAAG
rnacentral:rRNA from 1 species